UACGUAGGUGGCAAGCGUUGUCCGGAUUUAUUGGGUUUAAAGGGUGCGUAGGCGGUCCUAUAAGUCAGUGGUGAAAUACGGCAGCUUAACUGUCGAGGUGCCAUUGAUACUGCAGGACUAGAGUACUGAUGAGGUAGGCGGAAUGGACGGUGUAGCGGUGAAAUGCGCAGAUAUCGGGAAGAACACCGGCGGCGAAGGCGGAUACCUGGGCCUUGACUGACGCUAAGACUCGAAAGCUAGGGGAGCAAACAGG
rnacentral:rRNA from 1 species